GAUGAAGAACGUAGCGAAAUGCGAUACGUAAUGUGAAUUGCAGAAUUCAGUGAAUCAUCGAAUCUUUGAACGCAUAUUGCGCUCUUUGGUAUUCCGAAGAGCAUGCUUGUUUGAGUAUCAGUAAACACCUCAAAGCUUUUGGAUUUUUUUUUGAAAGCUUUGGACUUGAGCAAUCCCAACACCAAUCUUUUUCAGAUCGGCGGCGGGUUGCUUGAAAUGCAGGUGCAGCUGGACUUUCUCCUGAGCUAAAAGCAUAUUCAUUUAGUCCCGUCAAACGGAUUAUUACUUUUGCUGCAGCUAACAUAAAGGGAGUUUGACCGCAUUGGCUGACUGAUGCAGGAUUUCACAAGGGUCGGCAACGAUUCUUGUUAAACUCGAUCUCAAAUCAAGUAAGACUACCCGCUGAACUUAAGCAUAUCAAUAAGCGGAGGA
rnacentral:misc_RNA from 1 species